rnacentral:SRP_RNA from 1 species
CGGUCCCCCCGCAACAAUAAAUAACGAACCCCGCCAGGCCCGGAAGGGAGCAACGGUAGUUAUGGACUUGUGUGCCGGGGUGUGGCUG